UGGGGAAUAUUGGACAAUGGGCGCAAGCCUGAUCCAGCAAUGCCGCGUGUGUGAAGAAGGCCUUCGGGUUGUAAAGCACUUUUAUCAGGAGCGAAACGCUGUCGGCUAAUACCCGGCGGAACUGACGGUACCUGAGGAAUAAGCACCGGCUAACUUCGUGCCAGCAGCCGCGGUAAUACGAAGGGUGCAAGCGUUAAUCGGAAUUACUGGGCGUAAAGCGUGCGUAGGCGGUUUCUUAAGUCUGCUGUGAAAUCCCCGGGCUCAACCUGGGAAUGGCAGUGGAUACUGGGAGGCUAGAGUGUGUCAGAGGGUGGUGGAAUUCCCGGUGUAGCGGUGAAAUGCGUAGAGAUCGGGAGGAACAUCAGUGGCGAAGGCGGCCACCUGGGACAACACUGACGCUGAGGCACGAAAGCGUGGGGAGCAAACAGGAUUAGAUACCCUGGUAGUCCACGCCCUAAACGAUGCGAACUGGAUGUUGGCCUCAACUCGGAGAUCAGUGUCGAAGCUAACGCGUUAAGUUCGCCGCCUGGGGAGUACGGUCGCAAGACUGAAACUCAAAGGAAUUGACGGGGUCAUAGCUGUUUCCUG
rnacentral:rRNA from 1 species